rnacentral:lncRNA from 1 species
GGGUCAGCUGACCCCCCCUCCUCGUAUGCUGCCUCCGCCCCUGUGCGGAUUUCAAAAAAAAAAAAAUUACGCACCGCGAAAUAGUCACCAUUCAUUACCUAUAUCUCUGUUUUCUUUCUCACUUUUCUUGUGUUUGCUUUUGGAUAAUUAUAAGUUCACAACCGUAUGCAAUUAAUUAUUUAGUCCAUUACUGGGGGACACAUUCAUCACUGGUCCCUUUAUAAAAAUCACCCGUCCAAAUCAAUUUUAUAGCUCAUAUUUCCAAGUAUAUUUGGCGAUGAUUUGGCCAAAAAAAUCUCCCAUGUAUUGAUAGAUUGUGGGACAUGCAAGAAAAC